GUUUGUCUUUCUGUGCUGAAGGACAUUCAAAAUAAAGACAACCUUCCCUCAAAAAUAUCAAGCUGUGUAAUCCCAGAGGCACAUCUUUCAGGCCAUUCCAGCACCCGCUUUAUCUCCAGUGAUCUCUGACCCCUGUGUGUCAGGAGUUCAAUCUGGCACCAGAGCUCCUGGCUGCCUGUUGACUCCUCGACUUCAUUUAAUGGAAGUGAGCAAAAUAGCAGCUGAAAAUCAAGAUGCCUGAGGAUUUAAAAUAGGAAGAUCAGCAGCACGUCUUGGUGGAGGAAAGGGGUUGUUUGUGUCCAUCCUUUUCAGAUAGCCAGGAUGCUUUGAGCUUCAUCUUGUUCUCGUCUUCUGGGCUGCCCUCUGCUUUAAGCCCCUUCUCAGGGUCACACAGAGUUGCUGGAGGAAAGCAGGGGAGAAGUGCAGUAUUUGCGAACAGCAUAAAGCCCUUCAAAACCAAAUUCCCUACUGCCUGAGGGAUGUCCUGACCUGCUGUUUGCCUCUAGAUCGUCGCCAGCAGAACCUCUCAUGGUGGAUCACCAUGAAGUAGAUUUGUGCUUGCUCCCUGCACAAGGCUUUUGUGCUUUCACCUGUCCAAGCAUGAACUGAGUCGUACUUGGCAUGUCCCCAGGGUGACAUGAGCAGCUCAUCUGCCUGCUCGCUGUCAGCCAUGUGGCCAGCUCGGCUCUGGUGGUGACAACAGCAGUGACCAAAGAGGGCAUGAUGUAAUUUUCAGAUCCGUUGAGGAGUUUUCAGAAGUGAUGGCUGGAAAAAAACAGCAAUUUCUCUGUGAAAAAAGGGCACAUUCACUCUGGUUCCAAUGAGAAAGAAAUAAAUAGAAAGCCUGGUAGUGACUGUCCUUAAUUGAUUAGUCAUUUCUGCAGAUGAUAAUUGCACAUCAAAAGACAGGGAUCCUACUGUUUCAUGCAAAUGUCCUCAGGAAUAACAGCAAGGCACAGGGGAAGUGGGUAGAAGAAAUAAAUCCUUUCAGGCGCUGCCCAGGAGAAUUCAGAGCUUGAGUUCCAUUUUGGAAAAACAAUGUUGCUCUGAACAUGUCUGGAAGAAAUAUCCUCAACCUCCUGAGUGCCAGAAACACAGAGAAAGAGGAGGACAGGAGCGUGCCCCAGCCAUGCCUCAGCAUCACCUUUUCAGACACCAGCGGAGAACUUGAAGGAAGAGCUGGCUGAUGAGCCAGAGUUGGAGUUAUUCCUUGUGGGUUCCGCAGUGAGCCCCAGUUUUGGGUGCUUCCCACGCACUGCAGUCUCCCAGGCUCUCUGACUCGUGCCCGGUGUGUCCUGUCCCAUUCUGCUCGCCAUGCUGCCACAUCUGGGCCACCAGCUAAACGCCAACCCUGGGGCUCAUCUGAGAACCUCCGUUCCCAUUUAAUUAUUUCAGUGAAGCUGCUAGCCCUGGUGUCUGGCAAAAGAAGCUUGUGAGCAUGACUCAGUCAGCCUCCAAAAGCAGCAGUGAAAAAACAAGAAUCUGCUGUGAGCUGCAUCUUGAUUUUUUUAAGCCAACCUCGUGAUGCUUUGCAGGGCCAAAGCACGAGUCUGUAAUAUCAGAACAGUGCCAUAAACUGCAGGCGUUUUGGGGCGCUUAUAAGAAAAAUGGUCAUUUUUCACAAGCACGCAGCCAUCACUGGGGUCGUGAAGACCCUCUUGUAGGGAGUGAGCCCCCCUGCAUCACAGCUACACUGUGGGAGAAGCUUUUGCGGGUGUCAUUUCUUGUUUCCAAGGUUCUCAGCUGCCCUCCUCACCGCCUCCGGUAAAUCCCAAAACUGUGGGACUCCAGGCCCCACGUCCCAAACAUCCCUGAGCACUGGUAUGCAAAGCAGAGCCAGGGACACCACCAGACU
rnacentral:lncRNA from 7 species